CGGUAUCAAGCCGGAGGAAGGUGGGGAUGACGUCAAGUCAGCAUGGCCUUUAUAUCCGGGGCUACACACACGCUACAAUGGCCAGUACAAUGGGUAGCGAAUCUGCGAAGAGGAGCCAAUCCUGAAAGCUGGUCUCAGUUCAGAUUGCAGGCUGAAACCCGCCUGCAUGAAGUCGGAGUUGCUAGUAACCGCGCGUCAGCAUUAGUGCGGUGAAUACGUUCCCGGGCCUUGUACACACCGCCCGUCACGUCAUGGGAGCUGGCAACACCUGAAGCCGAUAGCCUAACCGCAAGGAGGGCGUCGUCGAAGGUGGGGCUGGUGACUGGGACGAAGUCGUAACAAGGUAGGUGUACCGGAAGGUGCGCCUGGAUCACCUCCUUUCUAGGGAGCA
rnacentral:rRNA from 1 species